rnacentral:rRNA from 1 species
GAUGAACGCUGGCGGCGUGUCUAAGGCAUGCAAGUCGAACGGACUGUUAUUUGUAGCAAUACUUAGAACAGUUAGUGGCAAACGGGUGCGUAACACAUUGGUAACCUGCCUCAAAGUCGGGCAUAAUCCCGCGAAAGUGGGACUAAUUCCACGAUAGUCAUCGAAGGUGAGAUUCCUUCGAUGUAAAGUCGCAAGACGCUUUGAGAGGGGCCUAUGGCCUAUCAGCUUGUUGGUGAGGUAACGGCUCACCAAGGCUAUGACGGGUAGGGGGUGUGAGAGCACGACCCCCCCUCACUGGGACUGAGACACUGCCCAGACACCUACGGGUGGCUGCAGUCGAGAAUAUUCCCCAAUGGCCGAAAGGCUGAGGGAGCGACGCCGCGUGCAGGAAUAAGGCC